rnacentral:lncRNA from 1 species
GCUCCAAAAUUUUCAGCUCUUGUAUUUGAUGUCCCAAAAUGAUGCUGCUACAAUCACACACCUUCCCUCAGGUGACAGCAUACAGAACUCAGGCACAUGGAAAUAUAUAAGUUGCCUUUAGGCUAUUUGUAUGAAUUGCACAUGAAACACAUGGAUUAUUCAUCACUUUAAGUAGGAAUGAGGUUUUUAAAAAUUAUAUUUAUUUAUUUGUUGUAUAUGUCUAUGUAUAUAUGACGGUCAGAGGAAACUUUAAGGAGUUAGUUCUUCCCUUCUACCAUGUGGACUUUGGGAUUUGAACUCACUUGGUCAGGCUUAACAGCAAGUGCCCUUCCCCCACCCUGAGCUCAGGAUGAGAUUUUAAGUAUGAUGGGAAUGUAGCUCAGGUGUUGAACUCAGAGUUUGAUUCCAGCACAAAUGAUAAUAAUUUAAAUAUGUAAGUAAGAUGGCAAUGCAAGAAAUGCUGUUGUGUUUUACUUACCUCUAUAAAGCAAAAAGCACUUUAUCACGUCCUAUAUGUAUUCUAUGAAAUAUGAAGUACCUCCUCCCUGUCGUAAGAGCAUAAUGUAUUUUGGUGACAAUGAUCUCUAGGGUUGGUAGGGGAACAAAUGCAUUUUAUAUCAUUGUGGAAAAUGUAUGUUUCAUCAGAAAUAAAUGAUACACGAUUUAUUGUACCAUGUUUUACAUUACAAUCCUGUGUUCAUUUAUUAAAAAAUUAAUAUAUCCAUA